GACGAACGCUGGCGGCGUGCUUAACACAUGCAAGUCGAACGAAGUGUAGCAAUACACUUAGUGGCGGACGGGUGAGUAACACGUGAGCAAUCUGCCCUAUACACUGGGAUAACACAGAGAAAUUUGUGCUAAUACCGGAUAAGACCACACUGCGGCAUCGCAGAGAGGUAAAAGGUCCGCCGGUAUAGGAGGAGCUCGCGGCCCAUUAGAUAGUUGGUGAGGUAACGGCCCACCAAGUCGACGAUGGGUAGCCGACCUGAGAGGGUGAUCGGCCACAUUGGAACUGAGAUACGGUCCAA
rnacentral:rRNA from 1 species